rnacentral:tRNA from 1 species
AAGAUUUUAAGUUAACUAAAAACUAUUUGCCUUCAAAGCAAAAAAUAAAAAAAAAAAUUAAAUCUUA